rnacentral:rRNA from 1 species
UACGAAGGGGGCUAGCGUUGUUCGGAAUUACUGGGCGUAAAGCGCACGUAGGCGGACUACUAAGUCAGGGGUGAAAUCCCGGGGCUCAACCCCGGAACUGCCUUUGAUACUGGUAGUCUCGAGUCCGGAAGAGGUGAGUGGAAUUCCGAGUGUAGAGGUGAAAUUCGUAGAUAUCGUAAGGAAGACCAGUGGCGAAGGCGAGUCUCUGGACAGCAACUGACGCUGAGGCACGAAGGCCAGGGGAGCAAACGGG